rnacentral:rRNA from 1 species
AUUGAACGCUGGCGGAAUGCUUUACACAUGCAAGUCGAACGGCAGCACGGACUUCGGUCUGGUGGCGAGUGGCGAACGGGUGAGUAAUGUAUCGGAACGUGCCCAGUCGUGGGGGAUAACGUAGUGAAAAUUACGCUAAUACCGCAUACGAUCUAUGGAUGAAAGCGGGGGAUCGCAAGACCUCGCGCGAUUGGAGCGGCCGAUAUCAGAUUGGGUAGUUUGUGGGGUAAAGGCCCACCAAGCCAACGAUCUGUAUAUGGUCUGAGAGGACGGCCAACCAUACUAGAACUGAGACACGGUCCAGAAGCCUACGGGAGGCAGCAGUGGGGAAGAUUGGACAAUGGGCGAAAGCCUGAUACAGCCAUUCCGCGUGCAGGAUGAAGGCCCUCAGGUUGUAAACUGCUUAUGUACAGAACGAAAAGGUUUCUACUAAUACUAGGAGCUCAUGACGGUACUGUAAGAAUAAGCACCGGCUAACUACAUGCCAGCCGCCGCGGUAA